GGGUCCCCUGAAGGAAUCUUUCUCCUCCUGCCUUGACUCAGGAGUGGGGUCUGUGCACCAGAGUCUCCAUGCAUUCUCCCGCGACUGCAGGCUCACUCGUGCUGGAAUAUUGAGAAAAGAGGCAGCUAUUUCCCUGUCAUGGGAGCCCCGGUCCAUUGGGUCCCUUGAAGGAAUCUUUCUCCUUCUGCCUUGACUCAAGAGGUGCCGUGCCGGAUCCCCAUGGCAGGCAGAGAUCCUGGAACACAGAAGGCGGGAAGACGGGUCGGGAGCGGGUCCUGGCCUCAGGCAGAGACCACAUGUCUACCUGCUGGAGUCUGGAACCAUCAAGAGCAUUGGCCCGGGAGCUGAUCAGCAGCCGGAGACUCGCCCGGGGAACAGGCCGGGCAGACACCGCUUGGGGACGUCUGUGGGAACUCUGGGUAGGUUUUUUGGUUCCCGUGUUGCUGCUUAGGGCUCACUGCUGGCUCUGCUCCGAAGACACUCCUGG